CACAGAGGUCCCAAGCGUUGUUCGGAUUCACUGGGCGUAAAGGGUGCGUAGGUGGUGAGGUAAGUCGGAUGUGAAAUCUCCAAGCUCAACUUGGAAACUGCAUUGGAAACUACCUUGCUAGAGGAUUUGAGGGGGGAUUGGAAUACUUGGUGUAGCAGUGAAAUGCGUAGAUAUCAAGUGGAACACCAGUGGCGAAGGCGAAUCCCUGGAAAAUACCUGACACUGAGGCACGAAAGCUAGGGGAGCAAACAGG
rnacentral:rRNA from 1 species